UACGUAGGGGGCGAGCGUUGUCCGGAAUCAUUGGGCGUAAAGAGCGUGUAGGCGGCUUGGCAAGUCUGACGUGAAAGCCCGCGGCUCAACCGCGGAUUGUCGUUGGAAACUGCCUCGCUAGAGUCCGGAAGAGGAGAGCGGAAUUCCUGGUGUAGCGGUGGAAUGCGCAGAUAUCAGGAAGAACACCCGUGGCGAAGGCGGCUCUCUGGGACGGUACUGACGCUGAGACGCGAAAGCGUGGGUAGCAAACAGG
rnacentral:rRNA from 1 species